ensembl:lncRNA
UCCCUAGCUUGCUGCCAAUACAAUGGAAAAAAAAAAAAAGAAAGAAAAAAAAAGGGGGGGGGGGGGAAAGCCAACCUACUGCUCAGUGCUCAAAUGGCCUUGAGUUUGUAUGAGGAAAUGAAAUGAAAUGAAAUGAAAUGGCCAUCUUCCAGCUCUGCUGUGGGAACUGAAGAAACUGUUUCUUUGCUUAGUGCUUGUCAGACUCAUCUCUAAAAUAGGUAUUUUUCCCCAAAAAAAGUUAUUUACAUCAAGAUGCCUGGUCCAAGUUGACUUUCUGUAACGAGUUCUUUUCAAUUUAAAAGUUUAAGUUGGGUGGAGGGGGGUGCAAACAGGAGAGAAAAUGAGAGGAUCCUUCAGAUGUUAGUGAGAGGUUCUGCUCCGCAAACACCUCCCUGUGUGUUUAGACGGACAACUUUUAUGUGCAGACAGUGAGACUGCCCAUGCUGCAGACACUGAGGGGGCUCGCAAGUCGCAGGCUGCCGGCAGAAAGGCAUGCCUGCAGACCCAGUUACACAGCACACCUUCUCCAUACGGCAAGCAGAUGAGCUGACUGGUAAUUUCCUUUUUCCCUUUUCAGUGUCAUGAAACUCAGAGGCGAUCAGAGAGGCAAAGGUAAAUAACAGAUAAAUCCCAGACACUUCUUCUUCCAAGAAACCUCACAGAUCUAGGCUAAAUUUUCUGAGAUGCUCUCUCUGGCUUUGAGAAGCGGUGCAGAUUGCCUCACAAUUCUGUACUGUUCCCUUGUCUUUUCUUUCCAGGACACCAGGACACAUGGGUGCUACUGAGCAGUGACUGAAACCCAAGACCUGCCGCAGCAUGACACUGGUCCCGGCCGUAGACCGUGAAAUGGGAUGGCCGAGUAUUUGCACGAGGAAGCACUGCCCGGAGCCCAGGACACAAAUCUGCACGGCAGUAAGGUAUUAAACAGCCUCAGCCCUGCUCGGAGAUGGCAGACACACAGCCAUGUGCUCGGUCCUGAGCUCACAGCAGGACCGAUAGCCUCUGGCAGCAGGGCAGCUGCUGGCAGUGGCCUGGUUCAGCCAGGUUUACCUGGAGGCCGGCAGGACACAGCGAGCAGCUUGACCUGGCCUGCAGCCCCUGAGCGUAACCAGGCACCCGCAGACACUUAAUGAAGGGCGAGCGAAGCACAAAGCCUCGCAGGGACCCUCGUCUCAAAUGUUGUGAUUAUCCCUGAAGCAUGCAUUAACUGUUUUGCUGCUGAGCCCUUCCACAAAGUCAAAACUGCUUUCUAAUGCAGUUUGUUGAGGCCUACACGUCAGCCAGAGGCCGAUUUGGACUAAUCCAGGAAGGAAGCCAAGUAUUAAAAAAAAAAAAAAAAACAACCUCUGAGGUUGUGGAACAUCUAAAACAUAUUGAUCAUGGUGUAAUUACACUUGAAAUGUAUUAGGGGAAGUAGCUAAAACAGUCUCCACUCUGAGAAAGAUGAUGUGGGAGCAUGCAAGAGGGCCUCGGGGAGACUGACUGGAAUUCUUAUGAGGGAUGGUGAACCUGUUUCAGAAAAUGUAAAGAAAAGUUACCUGAGUGAGCAUUAAAUGACAGAUGUGGUAAUGACUAUCUCAAACUUCCAUUUUCUAAAGAUUUAGCUACUAUUUACAUGAAUAUCAGAAGUCAGUGAAGCAGACGCAGCAAGAAGCAGCAUACAUGUGACAAAUCUCACUUGCGUCUUUGAAUUAAAAAGCAGUUCCUCAACUUAAGAUGUAAUGACAGGCUGGAAAUAAAGGAAGUCUUCAGUUUGCCUUGGAUACUGGU